rnacentral:tRNA from 1 species
CAGGAAAUGUGCCCGAAACAUUAAGGAUUACUUUGAUAGAGUAAACUAUAGGAACUAAAACCUCCUCAUUUCC